AGGGAUAGCAGAGUUUGUUGCCACUUUUCUGUUUCUCUACAUCACCGUCUUAACCGUCAUGGGUGUCCUCAGGUCCCCUACCAAGUGCCAAUCCGUUGGUAUUCAAGGAAUCGCUUGGGCCUUCGGUGGCAUGAUCUUCGCCCUCGUUUACUGCACCGCCGGAAUCUCAGGUUCCUUUUUUUUUCUCCACUGCUGAAAAAAUAUCUUCGUUUUUAAAUUGUGGAAGAUAAACAACGUUGCUUGUUUGUGUGUUUGUGGUGUAGGGGGUCACAUAAACCCUGCGGUUACGUUUGGGCUGUUCUUGGCAAGGAAAUUGUCGUUGACCAGGGCGUUGUUCUACAUAGUGAUGCAAGUGUUGGGUGCCAUCGCCGGCGCUGGAGUGGUGAAGGGUUUCGAGGGAAAAACCAGAUUCGGUGCAUUGAACGGUGGCGCUAACUUUGUUGCCCCUGGGUACACAAAAGGUGACGGACUUGGUGCUGAAAUUGUUGGCACCUUUGUCCUUGUUUACACCGUUUUCUCAGCCACCGAUGCCAAACGUAGCGCAAGAGACUCUCACGUCCCCGUAAGCGUCUUCCUCUUUCUCCCUCUUAAUUAAUAAAAAUACGCAAGUUUGGUGGGACUUAUUGUGUGGGUUGAAUUUAUCACUAGAUUCUGGCACCUUUACCAAUUGGGUUCGCUGUGUUCUUGGUUCACUUGGCCACCAUCCCCAUCACCGGAACUGGUAUCAAUCCUGCUCGUAGUCUCGGUGCCGCCAUCAUCUUCAACAAAGACCUUGGCUGGGACGAUCACGUGAGAUAUUUAAUUUCGUCCUCUCUUUUAAAUGCAUCAAAUUUUAGAAUUUUCUGGAAAACCAAUCUCGACCGUCAGAUCUCCGACGCUAAUUGAUUGUCGCUUUUUGUGCAGUGGAUCUUCUGGGUGGGACCAUUCAUCGGUGCGGCUCUCGCUGCACUCUACCACCAGGUCGUAAUCCGCGCCAUUCCCUUCAAGUCCAAGUGAUUGAAUCAAACGGUUCAUGCUUAAUCAAUCAAGUUGGGGAAAAAAAAUCAAGCAAUGUUUGUGGGCUUUUCGGUUUCAUUUCAUCCAAUGAUCUGUUUCAUCUUUUUUUUUUUUUGCUUUUAAUUUAAAGUCUUGUAUUUUGUAUGUAUAGAUGUAAACUUAUGAUUAUUAGGUGGUGCAUGUGUCGCGUAAUGGGCCUCAGUUAUCCUCUGCUUUUAAGUUGGAAGAGGCCCAGCUCAUGUGUGAUGUACGGCUGUGAUUGUGUAUUAUUAUGCAAAAUUUAAAAAUAACAGCAGAGUCAUUUAUGCAUCUUUUUAUAAUACUAUUAUUAUUUAAUUCUGUGUAGACCCCGCAAUGUCCUCCCUGUAAUUUUUGUCCUCUUCCCUGAAGUAUAUGCGUAGGUUGGGUUUCUUUAUCCACGCCUGUGGCCGUUAUCACUAGCUAUGGAUAAUCGAAAUCCAUGGAGUGAGCUUGAGAAAAGAGUGGGGUUGGGGAAGUAGGUGGGUGGUUGGAUGAUGUCUAUUGCCUAAUCUGGGACCACUUUCUUCAUCAAUAAUGCACAUUUUCUUGUCUUCUCCGUUUAAUAAUGAUUUGUGAUCAUAGCCCAGAGAAAAAAAGAAUGUGCACUAUUUGUGUACGCAUUCAAUAAGCUUAGGAUAAGCUUUAUCUUACCAAUGGGAUUGCCACCAUUUUCCUUCUAGUUACUUCCAUGGAACCCUUCACUCAAAAGACGUGGCACUCCUCAGAGAAGUACCUGUGAAGAAAGCGUUAAUACAAGUCUCACCACUCAUUAACUACAUUGACAUUAUUUAAAUAACAUGAACCCCAAUUAAAAUAAAGUAGAAAAAGUUAUUCUCGGGCCAAUUCUCAAUCUACAAGUUAUAUAUACGAAUGGGUAAAGAAAAGUAGUAUUUAAAUUGGAGUGAUAGGGAUGAAGAAGAACUUAGGUCCCCACAAAAUAAUAAAUGAAGUGAAAGUACAAAAUAAUGAAUGAGUAAAAGUGGAAGAAGAGAGAAAUAAUUAAGAGAAUGAAAAUGGUGGUGAAGCUUCUUCCAACUUCUCUCCGUACAAAUGUCCGAAUUGCAUAUUUGUUUAUGUUGUUGCCAAAGUAGUAAGAUAAGAUGUCUAUUUCCAUCUUUCUUCAUUCAUCUUAUGUCAUUUUAUUAUUUCCUAAGGUAACUCUUUCCCUCCACCAUAACCCUGGAUUAAAAUAUACAAAAAAAAAAAUUACACUCAUAUUUCUCAAUAUUUUUAAUAACUUAUUUGCUUGCUAUUUUAACACCACCAUAACACCAACAAAUUUCAACACCUUCCUCACUCAAACCCUCUUCUUGCUCCGAUAUUUCCUUUUUGGUUUAUUCGAAAUUUUGAACAUUUGUACGUGUCUAGUUCACAUAAACACUUAAAAGAUUGAAACCAAUUUGAACUAGAACAAAAUUUAACAAUUGUUCUGUUUCGUGGUAUCCCAAUAAGGAUUAAUUUUAAGUGUAAUGGUUAAGGCGGGGAUGAAUUUUAACCAGCCAAUGUGCUCAAUUCACAUUUUUUAGCAUAACAUACAAAAUGGAAGAGGUACAAACAAGUUGUUUUUAUGUAGAAAGUGGUUGAUUUUCACAUCCCAAUUUAUUAUAAUUGAAAACUUGUUUAAAGAACGAAAAAGGUAUAACUACUAUGGUGCUAGUGUUGAAACUUAUUCGCAACUUGGUUUAAAAAAUGUUUAUUUCAACAUACAGUACUCUGAUUUUAUUUUAAGAGUAUGAUAGUGAUGAUCACAUGUGAUGAAGACACAAACGUAAAAUAUAUUUGUGCACAAGUUGACGAACCCGUUUAACUCUUGUACGUUUUUGUUUUUAAUAAGAUGAUAUGACACUGUCUUGUUCUAUAAAACAGAAAAAAUUUAUAAAUUCUUAUUAAAGAUAAAAUUAUGAAUCUUAUUGGAGAUGAUAUGCUAAAGGUGCUCUUCUGCAUAUUUGUUUUCAUGUCGUUUUGAAUUUAUAUGAUUGUCUAGCCCCACAUACAUUCAUGGAACACACAUGCUAGAUUGUCACACAACUUUUAAGUGGAAAUUGCAUAUAUAUAUAACAAAGAGAAGGAUAAACCAAUUUUUGCAUUAACAUGUAAAAAAUAAAGAAAAAUUAUUAUUAAGUUCAAUUUUUUUAUCACACUGAUAAAUAAAACUUUGAGGGAGUGCAUAUAAAGUUAAUAAAACCUCAAGCAUAUUGACAUUUAGAUUAGGUUAUUUUGUGCUAUUUUGCUAACUGAUUUAUUUCAUACAGUUUUUAAUUUGGUAGCUUCUCGUCACUUUUAUUCCCUCAGUCAUCAUGUUUUUUUUUUUCAGAAAAAAAUAAACUCAGAUUUUUUCUUAGAAAAAUAUAUUCACUUUCGUCUUGACUAAUAAUUGGUUGAUGUGCAUAUUUUUCUCUACUUAUCUCAAAGUAUUUUUUUACAUAUUUUAUUCCAUAUUAAAAAUUGACAUUGGUAUAUAUUAGAAUUAUUUAUUUCAAUGUUUAUUAAUAAAUUUUAAUCAUUUUAAAAUUAAUUUGGUUUUAUAAACCUAGAGAAUAAUAUUUAAAUAAUUUAGAAUUAUGAUAAUUUAAAGUCUAAUAAAUUCUCUUAUUAUUUUUAUGAAAGUGACAAAUUUUCAAGUUACUCUCUUUGUUCUAUUUAUUUAUUUAUAUAUUCUUCUACAAAUGUUUUCAUUAGUGUAGUGUUUUUAGCAAGUUUUCUAUAAGGAAGCGUUGAAGUUCAAAUUCAUGAUUGAUCUGCUUUAACAAUAUGUACUAUUUAAAUUAUUAUAAUAGUUAGAAAUUUAAAUUCCUGAUUGAUUUGCUUUAGCAAUAUUUAACAUUAAUAAAUAAUUAACUUUCACACAUCAAUAAUUAUUUAAUCAUAUAUAAAAUUAAAUUAGUUCUGCUAACUCAAAUCUUCUUAAUUUAUUAUUAUUAUUAUUAUUAUUAAUAUUAUUAUUAUUAUUAUUAUUAUUCUUGUUAUUAUUACAGUAUUUGUAGUAUAUUUAAAUAUCUAUCAAUAUUUUAUACUUAAAUUUAUUAUAUAUUAUUAUGAUUAAAUAACACCCUUAAUACUAUUUGAUACUUAAAUAAAAUAAAAUGAGAUAUUAAUAUGUUUCAAUGUGGUAUGUUAUUUUAGAGUUGAAAAUUAUAAAAAUGAUUAAGAUAAUUAGUUUACUUUAAUUUAAAUACUUAGUACAUGUGCAUGAAUUAAGUAUUAAAAUGUAAUGGUUUCUUUUUUAUUUAUAACGUGUUUCUUAUUAUUUAAGGUCAUGUAUUUCUACAAACUAAAAACCAGAAGUAUUUUCAUUAUUAAUUACUUUUAAUACGUUCGCUAUCUGGUAAACAUAAACUUCAGUUAACAAAUUGUUUAGCCCAAUUCGAUCACAAAACAAUCAUAGCUAUAUGGGAUUUUUCUUUCUACAUCUUAUAAAUUUUGUGCACCUUCUAUUCAUUUUGAGAUGAGCUCUUCCGGAUGAAAAAAAAACACAUUCUGAAAAGUUCACGCUGAAAUAAGCAGGAGGUAUCAGUAAUUUUUUCCUGUUUGCAAGAAAAAUAGCCCAACAGAUAAUAUUGACAGUAAAUUAGCCCAAUAAAUACUAGCCCGUGCAUAUCUGGCUCAAGGCACAUUCUCCCUGCACCCAACACAUUCUAACUGGCACCCAAUCACUUAAUAGUAAAAGACGAAUAUAUCCUUAAUGAAAUUUUGAAAAAUAUAAUUGUGAUAUGCACCCAAUCACCUGCACCAACCCUAUUCUUCUCUUCUUCCAUUCCAUUGUGCCUGCCGCAGCCACCGUAAGCCACCGUGUUGUGCAGCCACCGUGAGCAAGCUUGUUGUCCAACCACCGUGAGCGACGUUCUUUUCCAUUCUUCUGCACCCACCGUGACCUCCAUUAUCGCAGGCAGAGCACCAGAUUCGAAAGUACGUCAUGCUUCCGGAUAUUUUUAUCUAUAAGUGAGUGAGAGUUGCGGAUAUUUUUAUCCGCAAGUGACUUUUGAGAGGUGCGGAUAUUUUUAUCCAUAAGGGAGUUUGGGGUCCGGAUAUUUUUAUCCGUAAGUUUGUUUUGACUUACGGAUAUUUUUAUCCAGAAUAUAGUUGGGUCUGGAUAUUUUUAUCCGGAAUAUAGUUGGGUCUGGAUAUUUUUAUCCGUAGGCACAACUGUGGCUUCCGGAUAUUUUUAUCCGUAAGCAACGAUCAGUUCCGGAUAUUUUUAUCCGUAAGCAACUAGCAAUUCCGGAUAUUUUUAUCCGUAAAUGAAGAAGACAAGGGCAUUUUAGGAUUUUUAAAAGUGUGUCGGGUGCCAGUCACAAUUGAUCGGGUGCAGGAAGCAAUUGCCCUGACUCAAUUACUAAUAGUGGGCCUAUCUCCACAGACAAGGCCCAAAAAUUGCAUGCAACAUAUUAUUGCAGUAAGUUGGCAAUAAAUCACUGCCUGUAUGAAAAUAAAUGAAUGAUGAACAAAACAAUUAUUAAUUAUUUAUAAACAUACAUUGUUUGGUUGAAGAAGAAGAAGAAGAAAGNNNNNNNNNNNNNNNNNNNNNNNNNNNNNNNNNNNNNNNNNNNNNNNNNNNNNNNNNNNNNNNNNNNNNNNNNNNNNNNNNNNNNNNNNNNNNNNNNNNNUCAUUGCUCAUUGCAAAUCAAUUAUUCAAAUAUAUUAUAACUUGAUUCCUGGGGAGUGUCUGCAUUAUCUCUUAUUGUGAUACAGAAGAGAAAAAAACCCUUGCUUUUAGUAUGAUAUUCACAUAAUAUUGUCCAUCCAUGCAUCUGGUCUUCACUAUACUUAACUCUUCAUGCUAAUAAAAUAAAAUAAAAUAAAAUAAAAUAAAAUAAAAUAAAAUAAAAUAAAAUAAAAUAAAAUAAAAUAAAAAACUGUCAGGAUGUUUUUGUAUAAAAAUAGGAAGAAAUAGGACUUUUUUUAUUUCUUAUUUUCCCUAUAUUCAUUCUAAUUCUACAGGAGACAAAAUGAACACUUUUCUAUUUUACCAAUAUAAUAUAAUUGGUUUAAGAACACUAUAACUUUUUUUACAGUUUUCUCGUUCGAUCACCCAUAAGUAAAGCAUGAAAUAAUGGAAGAAAGUGAAAGGUAGCUUUUUAUUAGUUAAGAUCUCUUUGUCACCUUCACUACUAUAUAUAAUUCAAAAGGACUGAGUUCAUUUAACACCAAUGUAUAAAUCUAAAACAAAAAGUAGCAGUGCCUCUGUUUUAAAUUAUAACAGCAAACAAACACUUGUUUACACAGAUUUUAACAAUGGCAUGAUAAUUUGUGUUGAGAAAACUUGAAAGAUUCCCACUAGCCGGGGCAUGCAACAAUCAGAGAAAGCAACUUCUGCCACUGAUAUUGAUAGACAACGUUGGUAAUUUGGUAUUACACAUUGAGUCUCUUGGAGGGAAUAAGGAUAAUAAAUUGUUUAAGCAGUCUCAUUCACUGAGCCUAUGUUAUUGUCGUGUCUGGAAAAGCACAUCCACAUUCUAAGGAUUGUAUUGUAUGAGCAUGGAUGAAACACAUAUUUUUUAUUCUCUGUAAAGAAGAAACAGUGUUGCAAUGCAGUUAGAUGGGAAGAAUUUAUAAGUGGGAAUUAAGAAAAUGUGUUAAUUGGGUUGCGCAUGGUAGGUACUUGUUUUCAUAAAAGCAGCGACAAGAAAGUAAAAGACACGGAUCAUACGGAGAAGGGUGUGGCGGCGUCCUACCUUUCUUUCUUUCACGCCUGUUGCACCAUUGCAUCCUCUCUUCCUUCUAUUCCUAACCCUUUUUCCUUUUUUUAUUGCCUUUCUUCCUUUCAUCAAACACUACUCCUUAUAUACGUCCACGAACCCUCUUAUAGACACAUCCAUCAACUCACCUAAAAGCAAAGCACCUUUACAAUUAUUCAUACCUAAAAGUCUUCUAUGGGGGAAUUAUUGCAUUAUUAAAGAUUACAAAAUCCUUUUUUUUUCAUAUUUAACGAGUAUUUUUAAGAAGUGUACUUUACUUUAUAAAAUCAACAAAGUAUCUCAUGAAGUAAAAUUUAUGUUCACUUAUAUAUUAUAAAAUGUUUUUAUUUUUAGUUGAUAUGAAUUUCUAACACAUCCAUCUCCAUCGAAACUGUUAAUUCGUGCGUGAAACUAUAUAUUUAUAGGUGGUUCGAUAGCGACCCAAUAAAUGUGACCUAAUAAGGAUAACAAAUUCUUUCUAGGAUAUACUCCUAAAUGACUAUGAUACUAUCAUAAGAAUUUGACUUUAAACCUAACUCAAUCUUAUAAAAUUAAAUGAAAUAUCCUAAAUUAUCUAUAAUCAAUGUAAAAUCUUCCUUAUUUAUACAUAAAAAAGAUACAAGAGAACAGUAUUUCCAUCCUAAUUAUUUAGAGAUUAUUUGGGUAAUCAUACAUGAUGAGUUUAAUGAGUUAUCAUAAUUUUACUUUUUAUAGAUAUUUGAAUGGGUUAAGAUAUGCAUGGGUUUAUAAACAUUUUUAUGGACAUGAAACUUUGUGAUGCACUUAUGAUAUCAGAACAAAUAAAUUAUAUGGUGAGAGGAUAAAUUAUACUGAGGACUAAGUCUAAAAUUCACGAUUUCUUCUAAUUUGUAUUCACUCUUCCACAUGGAACAUAUUAUAUGAAGUGUCUAAGUCUUCUUCGAGAAUUAGAGACAAGUUAUGGAGAGAUAUGAAAAAUCAUUUAUGAAACUGAAUUGUAAAGAAAAAAGCAAAGACUUUUUAUACACAAACUUAAAACUCGAAGUCUGCGAACACGAUGAUUAUUUAGUAAUUAUUGUUGGUGUAAUCAGAAUUUUGAGCAUUUUGCAACUUGGCAGCACCUUCUUGUUUGGUGUUAGGCUUAAUUAGUUGCGGAAAUUACUUGAUAGCUAGUUUGGUGGCUAACAUGACAUGUAGACUGAACAACAGCUUGUGGCCAAAACACGUAGGAGUUAGAGCCCUAGUGCUAAGUUUCAAGAGACAAAUGACACUCGUGAAUAGUACAACAUCCUCGGGAAUUGUAGAAAGUGCAAGGAAGAAUGUGGUCUCUGUCUUUUCUUGACUACCACUCUCGUGUUCCUCAACCACACUAUCAUCAUUUCUUCUUUUAUUUUUCCAUCACCACUAUAUCAUGAAUCACAGCCUUUGCUUGGAACCAAGAAAAAAAAUAAAAUAGAAGCAGACAAAGUAAAACACUUUCAAUGUCUAUCUAGGUUACACAUAGGCACAUUGAAUAAAACUUAAAGAAUUAAAGUUUAACUAUAUUUAGGUUUCUCAAACAUAAUUUUUCUUCUUACAUUUAUAAAAUGGUAAGUCUGAUCAUUCUUUUUGCUGAGAAAAACAUGGUAAGUCUGAAAAUGUUAAUAAAAUUGGAAAAGACAGAAGACAAGGAGAAAGUGACGUAACAUACAGAAAAUAAAGCAGCUUCCAUUGUGCUGGUCGCAAGGUGCCCCUUCAAAUCUCUCUAUGCAUAUGUUGUCGUCUCUAUAAUUAUGCUCCCACGUCUUAAAAGGAAGAUUCCCAUGAACACAAGUCAACUUAGUAUAGGUAGUGUUUGGUUUAAUUUAUUUUAAAAAGGAAUGAACAAAACAUUUUUUUUUUAAUUUCCAUGAUCUAACACGUUAUAUUCAUUUAAAAAACGACUUGGAAAAAAAUUUAAACCUAAAAAUUGUAAAAUUACUAAACGUAUUUAAGUUUGAAUUCAAUCUUAUUUUUAAUAACAAUUUUAAAGUAAACAUUACGGGAGUAACUUAUUUCAAGUAAACAUUAAAAUCUAAAAUAAUGGAAAAUUUUAAAUUGAUUAAAUAAAUAUAUGAAAAAAUACAAGUAAAAGUUCAGAGGGAAAGUGUAAAUUUAUAAAAGAAAAUCAAAGAGAGAAUAUAAAUGUUUGAUAAUUGAUUGAGAAAAAAAAUAAAGAAAUAUGCUGAAUAAAACUUUUAAAAGUAGUUCAAAACAGAGAUUUUUUAAAAAAGAAAAAAGAUUUAAUAAUUUUAAACCUAUUAAAAGAUAGAAUUCAAUUAUUAAAUAAUGGUAAAAUCAUACAUCAUAAAACGAAAGGAAGUGUUGGAAAAGCUCAUGUCUUUACGUUAAAAUAGGUAUGCAACUCAAAUUAUAUAGAAAUUAACAUUAUAUUUGAUUUUUUAAAGCUAGAGGAAAAUUUUAGAAAAUAAAAUACAAAACUAUGAUUUUUAACAAAAAGAAAUAUUAGUGAAGUUUAUAAUAAAAUUUACGUUCAUAAAGUUUUUUUAUAAAUAAUGUUUUCACUUUGAGUCUAAUUACAGCUUUGGAUUUUAUUUAUUAGAUUGAAUUCUCACUUUGCAGGAAAUGCAACAUUAACUAUUUAUAUGAUCAAUAUAAAUAUUACGUGUGUGUUAAAAAAAUUUACCCUUACAAACUAACUUUAAAGUUAAAUUAUACUCAAAUAUAAAUUAAAGAUUUUUUUUUUGCAUUUAUAUUGUUGAUCCUAUAUGUAAACAAAUCACCUACAAGAGCUUAACUUAAAGUUCAAAUUUAGGCACGAGGGUUUGCAUUAAAGAUUUGGCACUAAUAUUAUAUAAUUAAAAUGUUUAAGUGUUUUGUUGAAGAUUUCACACUUAUUAGUAACAUAGUCAAAAUAGUGUGUAGAAGUGAAGGAGUUAUGGUAUAUUCUAUGCUAGCUUUUGGAGUUGAUAGAUGCCAAACUCAUUAUAAGAUAAAUAGUAUAUUACAACUUUAACUUUUAACUAUUCUCCAAUAACUUUAGCGGGCAACGUUUCUUUUUAAAAGCAAAGUUUGGCUUAACUCACAUGUCUUGAUGGAAUUGGAUUAAUUUGACAAUUAAUGCUGUCGAAGCACUAAGCAUCAGAGAUAAGACAAUGAAAACUACACAAAUAUAUAACAGUAUAUAAAUUUUAGGAGUAAGUGCACACUUUACUGAAAAACACACUGUGUUGUGUCUAAGAAGAACUCGAGGAAAUAAAAAUAAAUAAACGAUGAAGAAUCAUAUAAAAUAUGGUUAAACUUCAAUUAGUGAAACUUGAAGUUCGCUGCCCCAAGACCGAAACGUUGAACAACGGCUGCUUUUGCGCAUGACUUUCUAUUUCUUUAUUGCCAUGAAAAAACACCACUCUAAAUGAAACAGAUCGAAUACAGUACAUGCAAUGAAAAACAUUACAAGAUUAAUAUAUAUGCUAUAUUUUCUAUGCGCAAUUUGAUGUUGUUUUUCUAUGGAAAGUACACAACAAGUGUUACAAUCAUGAUAAAAUAUAACAGUUAUGCCCUAUUUUUUAGGUAUAUAUAACUGUUCAUUGCUCAAAAUUGUAACAAUUAUGCAGUGUUUUCAUGAAAAGAAACACAAAAAAUACUCAUCGAUCACCUUUUGUUUUGCCCCAUAAUGGUCCCUCAUAUUCUCUAAAUUCAAAGAAGACAGAACGUUGAUUGUAAGAUCUGUGAUCCCCACACAGCAAUGCAACAAAAAAUAAAAGGACAAAGAUUUUGACAUUAGAUUAAUGAGUUAGGGUAUUAUAUAUAUAUGCGCACGAUUGGGAUCUUUAUGGUUCAGAUAAUCUCAGAACUAAUAAAGUUGAGUUCAGAGGCAGAGAGAGAGAGAGAAAAUCAUAUCUGGAAGAAAACAUGGAUGAGGGCAUGUCAGGCUUUUGCAUCAGAUCAGGAAGUGUCCGUGGUAAAAGUGGAAGCACUACUUCUUCUGCCACUGGCACCAAGUGUGGGCGUUGGAAUCCCACCACUGAACAGGUUAAACUUCUAACUGAACUCUUCAGGUCAGGGCUCCGCACUCCAAGCACUGACCAGAUUCAAAAGAUCUCCACUCAGCUCAGCUUUUACGGUAAGAUUGAGAGCAAGAAUGUCUUCUAUUGGUUUCAGAACCAUAAGGCCAGGGAAAGACAGAAGCGCCGCAAGGUCUCCUUUGAUGACAAGGAUCUCAUUCGUAGACAAAACUCCUUCAAUACUUCCACACAAAGUAAGUAUUACAUCUGUUUCCAUAACUUUUUCCUAGUAAUUAUUCAUAAAAAGUCUUAAAAAGUUAGAAUAAAAUUGAACUUUUGCCGUAAACUAAUGCUUAAGCUGAUUUAAAGUGUUCAUGGAAAACUUUAUGGAAGAGAGUGUGGAAGAUUGUCAAUUAGCUCUUGAGGUUCUAUGUAAUGUGUUUUUAACAGUUUUCCUUAUUGUUGUAGGUCUUGCUGAUACGUAUCGAGUUUCAGAGCCAGAUAGGGUGAUUGAGACUCUUCAACUCUUUCCCUUGAACUCCUUCGGUGAAUCUGAACAAGAGAACCUAAGGCUACAUGCAAAUGAAUUUAGGGAUAGUAGUACAAUGUUUUCGUACAUGAUGGAUGAACAAAUAGAGCACCCACCAUUGGACCUGCGCUUGAGCUUUCUGUAAAAGGGUUUCAGUCUUUUGUGUGGUGGUGGAAGGCAAGAAGAUUUUUACUAAAUUCAUUGUUGUUACUUGGUAGACUUAGGUUUAGCAUAAAGAAAACAUUUAGGGGUGUAUGAUGGACCGUUAAGACAAUAUGUAGUUUAUGAGAUUAAUAUUUACCUAGUGAUCAGUUUUAGCUCCAUUAAAAUAUUCUAAACGUCUAGACAUUCUCCUUAUGCUCCUUCAAUUUUGAUUUGAUCUUUGUUGGAUUAUACUUGGAUAGCUUGGGAUUCUAAUUUCUAUCCUCAUGAGAUUUCUCACCUUGGAAUUCAUAAAGGAUAACAUUAGUACUUUACUGUUCUACCAGUUACAAAUGGGUCGUAGUCAUACCUCGGGUCUGAUUCCAUCUUUGAAUAUCAUGAACCACAUUUACAACACAAGAAUAUAUAUAUAUAAAACAAGGCAUUGUAGCUAACCAAGAUAGCAUGUCACUCAUUGUUACUAUCAAAUUACUACUAAUUUUGUUUGGGAGAGGUACUUGGAUAAUUAUGAAGACCAGUGGUCUUACUCAACUCACAUGUAUGUAAGGAAGCAAGCUAGUCACGUGCAAGGGCAAAUUAUUCAACGAUAAUAAACAAUAAAUCAGUAUGAAUUGGAUAUAUAUAUCAUUGUGGUGUCUAAAGAUUAAAUCCAAAUAAGAAUUGUGUAUAAUAAUAAUAUUUUCUUUAUACCUUUCGUAUAACGACAAACACUGAUAUAUGUUAGUUUAAUUCUUGGUGUAUUACUUAUAUGCUUUACGUGUUGGAGACUUACAAGGUUUGAUAUCUGAAAGAUAGUUUACUGUAAUGAUAAGCUGAUAAUCAUAUGAGGAGUCAAUUUCAUUCUUGAAGCAUCAACAUUACUCCCUCCACUUUCACAUAAUCUAGUUUUAUUACUUGACUGGUUAACUUGAGUAAUCUCAGUUAACACUUGAUACAGAGUAAUCUAGUUUUAUCACUUGAUAAUCUAGUUUUAUUACUCCCUGCAUUAAUUAAUGCAGAGUAAUAGAACAUCCAAGAUUGGUGAGCAAACGAUAUUUUAUUAGUUAUAUACUAGCGAAAUCAUCAAACUUGUGUGAUGGUGUGGGUUUUGGCUCUUGAUCAGUGAAUUAACAUGGUUUUCAACAGCUGAUUUAAAAUUUGGCAACUUAGUAUUACUCUCACUUUUUGUGUCCUCAUUCACUUCGCAUGACACGAUAGCAAAAAUUGGUACCAUAUAAAUUUUUUUCUAAAAUGUUGCUGGUUUUUCUUUCAUAUUAUUGAUUUUGUGUAAAAUAAGAUGAAUUAAACUAAUCGAUCUGUGAAAUUGGCAGGAACUAUUACCAAAUUGAAAAAAAGAAGAAAGGAAUUAAUUUAAGUGCCAAGAAUUUUUUCGAUCAUGAUGUCAAUGACACCAAUUGUCUAAAACAGUGAAAAACUUGUUCCGUUAAACUCGACAGAUAUCCCACUUUUUUUUUCCUUCUAAAACUUGGUUUUCGGAAAGUGUAUUCCAAAAUAAAAAUUCUAAUAUUCCAGAUUUCCAAAAAAUUAAUAUUUCAAAAAUACUUCCAGAACUGUUAAAAAUUUAAUAUAUUUUAAAACUUAAUUUUCCGAAUGUUUUAAAAUUUUAAUAUUGUAGACUGUACUUUAAAAAAAUUAUAAAAUUAAGUAAAAAUUGCCGUGUUGAUUCACGUGGAGGCCCAGUGUGUACUAUUUAAGGCUUUGUUAUAGGCCCCAUAACUACCGUGGUCAGAAGCCCGUCACAUUUAUGAUUGUAUUUCUGCAAAGCCCAAAACUGACAUUAUAUAAUGAACUGGAGAACCAUAGCGCUAAACAAAAUUCGAAAAUGACAAAAAAGAAGUACAAAAAGGAAGUGCAUUAGAGCAUGAUGAAAAUUAUGUCUUUGAUAAAAAAAAAAUCUGCAAAGAUAGAUAAGAAAGUGAUUUUAUUGAGGAAUUAAAAAUCAAAAGAGACAAAUUUAUUAGCAUUCAAAAAAAUAACUUUAAACUUCUUUUCGCUUUAGGCAAAUGAUCUUCAUUACUAUAAACUAUUUUUCUAUUUUAAAAAUAUUAACAACCAAAUAAAAUAUUAAUUAAUUAAAUUAUAAGUUUUAUACAAUCUUGUUAUUGAAGUGAAAAUUGUAAAAAAAUGAAAUAAUAUAAUACAAUAAAAUUCAUACAAAAUAAAUUAAGAUCUUACAUAAUAAUUCUUGUUAUGGAAAUAGCUUAAUUGCAAUUUAUAGGAAUGGUAUGAAUAAUCAAUAUACCAAAAGUCAGUGAGUAGGCUGAUUCCUCUAUCUCAAAGUGUAAACUUUUAUGAUUGAUUAUUAAAAAAAUUAUUGACAAGCAUAUAUAUGAUUUCUUUAAUGAAUUUUAAGCACUAACAAAUUAUCUUUUUUAAUAGUUUCUUUUUUUCGUUCUAGACUUUCAUUGAUCUUACAGCAUUGCUGCCUUAAUAAAUAUUUCCUAACUCUACUUUCUCUUUUGUUAAAAUCUUCUCUCUCACUUUUCAUUAGAUAACAAAAGUAUAUAUUUGUUUAUGUUUUAUAAGUAAACUCUUUUAAUUAAUCUGACACUAUUAAAUAAAUAUAUCCCCGAAAACCCAUCUAUUCAAUCUUGUAAAGAAAUAAUCAUUCAUCUAUUAUCUCUCAAAAAUCUAAAUUAACUCAAUCAAAUUUUCACUAAUUAAAUAUUUAUUUUACAAAAUCCAGUUCUGGAAACUCUUAAAAAAAAAAUAAUUUUUAAUAAAUAUUAUUUUUAUAAAAGGACGUGAAAAAUAAUUAACAGAUAAAUUAGAUUGGAUGAAAAGUGAUUAAUAAAUUCUUAAAUUCAAUCUAUUAUAACUGGAUAUAAAAUUUGAUUUAUAUAUUCAUCCCCUUUGUCACGAGUAGUUUUGAUUAUAAAGUACCCGUAGCUAACAUCAUUGACUUUUUCUUGAAAUUUUGGCAUGUUUAGACAUAGAAGAAGACAAACUGGUAAUACCUUUCUGGUUAUAAAUGUGAUUGACAGCACUUUUUGUACAAAGAAGUUGGUGAAGCAUAGGGUGGGCGGUGUGCAGCUAUUACAUGAAAUUGACUAAAGUUUUGAGGUAUGACCAUAAGAAUCAAUGGAAACUGGUGUGUGAAAUGAUAUUGACACUUGCUUGCAGAUACGUUUGGGUUUACAUUUGCAGCUUCAGAAUUGAAAACUACAUUGGCAUAAUAGUACGGCAAAUGCAUGCCAUUCAAAGUAGUAGACCAUUCAUUAUUUCCACUUGCAUGCAUGAACCCACUCGGUUCAUUGUAUAAGCAGUUACCCUAUUCUACGAGAAACCUCCAAAAACCUAAUGCCUUCUAUAUGUAGCUAUAAUCUUUGGUUUUGACUAGUAGUCUGUCAGAAUAUUGUAGUAUAUGUUUAGGGUACUACUAGCUAGGCACGAGGGGGGUGUAGAGUUUUGGGAAUUUGAUGUUAGGUUCACUAUCUUUUGAACGAAGACUACGAAUGUUCUUUGGAGAAAAUCAUUUUGGUAAGAUAUUUUUUUUUAAAAAAAAUGCGCUGGAUUUGAGUUUGGAUCUAUUAUAUAAUGUGAACUCAUCUAUUGUGAUCAACCAUGGUUUAUCAUGUUGUUUGAUCUAGUUUGUGUUUAGUUAGUUAGCUUUAUAUGUUUUGAGGAGAGUUUUUUACAAUGUAUGAUACUGACUUCAAUGUCUUAUAUAAUAUUGUUAUCUCUUAAUUGUAUAACUCUAUUUCCCAAGAAAUCAUCACCAAUAUUAUUUUCAUUUAUACUAUAACAAAAAUUUCUAAAGAUAGGAAAACCAUGAUUUCUAGAAAAAUGAUCCAAGGUUUUUUUAACUUCGAAAACAACUCACCUCGUCACAACAAAGGACCAAUGAUGUUAUUAUACCAAACUGAAGUCUACGUAGGAGGAGUUAUUGAGCUACAAACCUUCCUUUCCGUGGUGGCUUACAAUAACUUCAAGAUUACAAUUGUAACACCCAAAACACUUACUAUCUAUUAUGUUGUGAAUUCAAUAGAGGGUUUUAUAUAAGGUAUAUAAAUAUUUUUUUCAAAAUAUUACUUAUACACAUCUAAAACAUAUAUAAAAGAUGAAACCUAAUAAAAGCCUACAGUCUUCCAUAUUAAACAAGAUACUUUGAUGUCUUCCAUAUUAAACAAGAUACUUUGAUGUCUCUAAAUCCAAGUAGAAAACUUGAAAAUUUUGUUGUUGCGCAUGUGUUGUUUAGUUAUUUGAAACUUGUUAAUUCAUUCCUUAAGAUGAUCCAAGUUCAAUUGAAUCUUUACCUUUUUUAAAAGAUGAGUUUUCUAAAAGGGUGUGAAAUUUCAACCUGUUGAAAUGUCGAAUCAAUCCAUUGUUUGACACUUAGUGGUUUUUAAAAUGAUUUGGAAAAACUUAGCUUUGUUUUGACUUUGCUAUCAAACAUAAUCAACCGGUUGUUUCGAUCAAUCAACUUAUUGUUUUUUGUGAAAACCUUAACAAAACUUUGUUAAGUGGGUUGAACUGUUUUAAAUGAUCCAACUGACUGCUUUUGGCUUUUGGUUUAACUGCUUUGACCAAUUAAUUGAGGUUACAUAAAAGUUUUUUAAUGCUCCUUAGCAUUAACUAAGAAAGAGAGAUUCAUCAAAAAAGUUUUUCAAGAUUUCAAAAGCUUUGGAUCAUCUCAAGUGUGUGGAAUAGGAUUGGGUUUUGUACUUCUGAACUUUAAGCUUUGAUUUACCCAUUGUAUUUAUGUGUGUUCUUAUGUAAGGUAGUUUCAGAACGUGUUUAUAGAAAAUGUGUUGUUUGCUAUAAAGUGGUGUGUGUUCUUGAAGGGUUCAUCACUCUUGGUGUGUGUUUUGUAAUCUAUGAUUGAUUACAUAGUGAAUUCUCAGAGGUUAGCAAAGGGCUUAAUGUAACUUUUGGUUAAGAGUGAAUCGGUAUAAAUUGUUUUAACAUUGUUUUUCAAUUUUUCUAGUAUAAACAACUACUUGUUUCGUGAAAACAACUGGUUAAUUAUUUGGAAUCAAACUUAAAACAAUUUUUUAUUAGUUGAACAUAAUUUUCAAUUGAUUGAUUCUACAUAGCUUUUUACUUUACCUUCAAUCUUUGUGAAAAUCUUUCAAAAACAAUUCACCCCCUCUUGUUUAGGCCUCUAAUUCUAACAUCCAGACACUACAUAUUUUUUUACUUUAAGCCACGUUGACUUGUUAAAGGUUUUUAAAAAGCGUUGCCUAAAAUAUGGAUAAGUAAUGAUUUUUAAAUUUUAACUAUAUAGUAAGGUUUAUUUGCUUUGACUCAAUGUAUAUGGGACACCUAUUGUCUAUUUAUUUCAAACAUGUUAUAGAAUGUGGAAAAUUAUAGGCAACACUUAUUAAACUGUAGUUACUUCAAGCAACAUUUUUUUAAAAUGUGAAAACUUUAGGUAACACUCCUUAAAGUUUGGGUGAUUUAACCAAUAUUUUAUGCCAUAUUUUUUAAAAUUGUAGGUAAUUUAGACAACAUUUAUUACCUAUGGACUUUAAUAUAUCAUAUACGGAGAUACAAAGACGUGGUUACACUAGGCCACACUUAUAUAAUCGUUGUCUAAACAUAGAAAAUGAAACAAGUUUACAAGUGUCGUUUGAGGACUACCAAAUACCACAUUUGUAAAAUCGUUGCUUAUUUAAACCAUAUUUUUUUAAAUGUUGUCCUUAGAAUAUGUUGGCUAAAAAAUAAAACUCGGAUCUAAAAGUGGCCACAAACAUAUAUAUGUGGCCUAAAAGUGAAAAAUAUAACACUUUUACAAUGUGGCUUAUGAAUAACUAUAAUAAAAAUAUUAUUAUUAUCAAUAAAAAUAAAAAAUAUUAUUAUUAAUAAUAAUCAAAAUAAGAAUAAUAGUAAUAAUCAUAAUAAGAAUCGGAAUCAUAAUUUGACAAUAAACUUUGUUGAUGUAGUGAUUAUAGGUUUUAUGUUUACUCAUGGGACCUGUGUUUGAUUUACUAUAACAAACAAAUUGUUAAUAAUAUUAAAUGUGACCUAAACAUAAAUGCAACACUUAAACAAUCAUUGAUUAAAAUUACAAUAAAAAGUGUGGCCUAAAUUUGGAUAGAAAAGUGUUGCCUAUUUUACCUGUCUAAGGGAAUGGUUUUGAAAGUUGAUUUUUAGGUUUAAACUUAAUUUUGAUGGUAUUGUUGUUAAACACAAAGUUAGACUUGUUGCUAGGGAAUUACGCACCCAACAAUAUGACAUUGAUUUCAAGAAAACUUUUUCCACUAUUGCCGAGAUCACUACUCUUAGACUUCUUUAGCUCCUUCCAAGCAUUAGCAUUUAGCCUAACUAUAUAUGUUAAUAAUGUUUUUCUAAGCGGUAAUCUUGAAGAAUAUACUUAUAUGAAGAUUUCCCGGGGUUACAACCACACUAUUUGAAACAACUCCAUUGCUCCUCUUGUUUGCAAACUUUAAAAAAAAAAACUAUAUGUGGGCUCAAACAAGCUUCAAGAAGUUGGUUUACCAAAUUCAGUAAUACUUUGCUUUGUCAUGAUUAUAAAAAAUAUAAUAAUGAUUAUUCUUUGUUUACUAAAGGCAGUAGUUUAGAUUUUGUUGUGGUCUUAGUUUAUGUGGAUGAUAUUAUUAUUUUGGGCCUAAUAAUGAUGAUAUUUCAUGCACAAAAAUUCUUCUUCGUAAACAUUAGAUUAAAAGAUCUUGGACAUCUUAAAAUUUUUCUUGGAAUAAAAUUAUCUAGGUCUAAAAAGAAGGAAUAUUUAUAUGUCAAGUGCAUUAUGUUUUUGUCUCUAUUUAAAGAUUGUGGUAUGUAUGGACGCGAACCUUCAACUAUCCCAAUUUAUCUGAAUUUAAAACUUAUUACAUAAUUGGGUUCCAAGUUAGUUAAUCCUCAACAAUAAUAGAGACUUAUAGGAAGAUUUUUAUACUUAACUACAUCUAGGUUUGACAUAUGUUUAACUUUCACAAACUUAGUCAAUCUCUAAUCCUUAUAUUGAUUAUAUGAAUAUUGUUCAUACUUUGUUUAGGUACCUCAAAAACAUUAUUAGACAAGGCAUUGUUUUUAAAGUAGAUUAUGAUACCCGAUUUCAUGCUUAUGUAAUGCUGAUUAGGGAUCUUGUCCAGAUAGCUGGAAAUCUAUGAAUUGAUUCUGCAUUUUUCGAUAUAUAACUCUUUAAUCUCUUGAAAGUCCAAAAAAAAGACAGGGUCAGCAAAUCUUCUACCAAGGCAGAAUGCAAAGCUUUAUCAACUAUUUUAAGUAAAAUAACUUGGCUUAGACAUCUAUUGCAUAACUUCCAUAUUGACACUUCUUUUGCCUUUGUUGUGGUAGUAAAGUUGUUAUGCAAGUUCUCUAUAUGUUUUUGUAUAUUUAGGGUAGGUGACCCAUAUAAUAUUUGUGGGUUAAUAGAUCUGACUUGUUCUAUAUAGGUUUAUAAAUUUAUGAACUAACCCGCAUAAACUAAAAAGUUUAAAAAAUUCUUUAGAAUUCUUUUAAUCUCAACUUUGAGUAUUUCGUCAAAACAAGGUUUUGUUACAAAUAUUACAACAAUAAUAAAAACUUAUACUAAUGAUUUACGAUUUGUUACAAGUAAACAUUGAAACAUCCUAUAAAGUUUUUAUAUUAAAGUCGGCCACAAUAAAUUUAGAUUUAUACUUAUAUUAAUAAAAGUAUUUAACCAUAUUAAACAUACAAAUUAUACUAUGUAACAAUAAAACAUUAAAAAAUUUAAUGCAAAUUGUGAGAAAGGACAAACCGGUCUAUACUUUAAUCCACGUAAAUUACGCGUUAUGUGGAGUGUAUCUAUAGGAGUUUUGAACAAAUUUGUAAUCCUUUCAUCUUUUUCUUGUGUCAUGCGGAUCGGUAACAAUAAAACAUUUAAAAAAAUUAAUGCAAAUUAUGAGAUAGGACAAACUUAAUUAUACUUUAAUUUACCCAAAUUAUGGAUUAUGGGGAGUGGAUCUACACGAACUUAAGAAUAAUUGUCCAAUCCCUUUCAUCUUUUUUCUAAUGUGUUGCGGAUCAGUCCACGUAACUCACCUUUUAUUGCCAUCUUUACUUUUUUUUUUAUAUUAUUUGUUCUUUGUGUAAAAUUGGAUAGAUUUACACAGUAAUUAGUCAACUUACGCUUAUAAAAUUUGAGAACAGUUCAUAUAACACAAAAAAAAUUGUAUUUUAAAAUUAUUUAAUGGUACUGUAUAUGAAAAUGUGUUCGACUAACAACAAUAAUACUAAUUAACAAGAUCAGUCAUUUGAAAAUAAACUAUGGCAUAAAAAAAGAGUUGUUCUGAGUACCCGUCCGCCAUGUAUGAUCGUUUUUAUAAAUAGAUUUUUUUUAUCGGCAUUUUUAUAAAUAGUUCACUAACCGAAAUGUCAAAGAUAUUAAUUAAAGAAUUAAAACAUUUAUUUAUGGGAAUUCACAUUGAAAUAGCUAACAAUAGUUUUUAUUAAAUUAUUUCUAUUUUGAAUUUCUUAAUCAAGGACACAGGUCAACUUUUGUCUUUUAUUAAAAUAUGUAAGAUAACAAAAUGAAAUAAGUUACUCAGUCCUAUAAGCACAUAAAAUAUUUAAAUUUUUUAAAUUAUGAUAGUUUACAAUAUUUUUAGUUUUGUAUUAUAUGACACUUUUUUUUUAUCAGCAAUAAAAAAUAAAUAAAUGCGAACUAUUUCAGGAAUGAUUCAACCCUUGUACAAAAGACAUAAUAACCAACUUCUAACUAGAGCCACUAAUCUAACAAACUAAAGCUCAAACCGUACUAAUAAAACCUAAAAUACUUUAAGAAACCAUCCUGAUACACUUCAAAGAUUCCAAACACUAAUUAGAAUAGGAAAACUAUAAGCAAAACGAGAUUUUACAGAAAUCGAAGACCAAACAUUUACUUGCACCAUUGCACACACUUCUGACACAUCAACCACACCCCUUUUGAAAAUGAUAGAAUUCCUGUGAUUCCAGAUUUCACUCACAAUCCAAACCAAAUUGUACUCCACACAUCAUUAAUUGAAUAUGAAGACAAGCUCAUCCUAAACAAAGUUUGACAUAGGAUCAAUGUGAGACACAAACUAUACUUAUCCCAAGUAUUUCUUUAUAAAUUAUAAUUUUCCAGAAUUUAAAUUAAAAGGUAGAAAUAUAAUUACGUCAAAAGAAGUUUUGGUUUUAUUUCUCCACGAUCAUAUCAUUUUGGACAAUUGUGUUUCGAUUCAUUUCCACCAGAAUCAAAUAACUGCUACAUGUAACUCUUGCAGUUAUGUAACUGUCAUCAUGCUGUUGUCCAAGGACAAGCCAUGGACAAAAUGCCCCUCUUGCUUCCUGAUUUGACAAAAUGAAAAUUAUUAUGUUACAAGAUUAGCUUAAGCUUAUUUUACUCUGAAUUCGUUUUUUUUAAUGCUUGUCUGAUUUUUGCUCCAACUAACAACUUUGUUGUUAUCCUAACUCCAUAUUGUCUGCUCUUUUUUUUUUUUUUUCUGAGUUUGAUGUCAGUGGUUCUUUAGCUGUAUGUGUUGAAUCAUUUAAAAGGAUAAUAUUUUUAAUUAAUUAAUUUAAAAUAUAUUUUUGAAAUUAAUUCAGUUUGUUUCAUGAUAAAGAACUUAUGUCAUCUAUUAUUUUUGACGUUUUGAACUUGAAUUAUUUAUUUAAUAUGAUUCAUUAAUUUAAAAAUAAUGAUGAUAGGUGAUAGAAUCAAAAUUGGGUUAUUGGGAAAAAAAGCUUUAAAUAGGAAGAAAAUAAGCAGAAUAUGAGAUAAAAGGAAGUGUUAAAUGUUUUGUUUUGUUUUUGAGUUGCAUAUCUGUUAUGAAGUGUAUUAUUUAGUAGUCUCUCUGGGUGUGUCGGGAGUAUUGGUCGCUGAGUGUGUUUUAUGUUUGGAGUUUUGGCAGGUAAGUUCCCCGAAAUGAGAGUGAAGCAGAAGCAAUAAUGAAAGGUGACAGCAUAUGAUUUGAGGGAAAGUGGAGCAAGUUGUUGUGUGUCUGAAAACUUUGUACAUCUGAAUUUGGUUGAUAUAAAUCGUGUAUGUAAGUGUGAUAUUGAUAUUGACAUUGAGUGCAUGUGAAGUGGUAAGGAGGAUAGAAUCCCAAUAAAAGCGCUAGACUCAGCUGUCCCUAAAAAUACUCACUUAAACAGUCAAGCCUCCUCCUUUUAUUCAACUUCUAUUAUCCAGUACGGCAGUACUUUAUCCCAUCCCACGUUUCCUUUUUCUUUUCUUUCACUUACUACUUCCAACUUCCAACUUCCAACUUCCAAUUACUUCAUAUUCUACAUUCACACUCUUUCCACAACUCUCAUGUUUUUUUUUUAAAUAUUCAAAUCCAACUUAAUUUCCCAAAAUUACUUCAUAUUAAAUUAAUACUUUAUUACAACUGUCUCUGAAAACUCUAUCUUUGAAGAGAAAAGGAAACCAUUUGAUAAGCUGAAAAAAAUGGACCACAUCAUACUCAAUUAAAAACAGAUAAAAACGCUAAAAAAAAAAACAUUUUAUGUCACCAUGAUACAGCCCCCAAUCCCGAAUUAAAUCAUCACUGCUCCAACCAUGUCCUCCUCCCAACACUACCAUGACGUGACCAUGCGAGCAAGUAGUUACGCCGGAUGCACCACCUUUUCACACGUGUCACAACUGACACGUUGCAUAUCUCGUGAAUUCUGGAUCAGAUUCCAGCGCUUCCAUGGUUUCGGGCGCUAAAACAACCUCCAAAUCAACGGUCCCUGUUCCAUCUCUUCCGGGAAACGCCGAGAUCUUACCGUCGAAUUUGUUCGCUCUUCCACUUCUCACCGCCAGAGGUCUCCCCCACCCGAAAUUGUUAUCGUACAUUGGAAACCUCGGAGAACUACCCAUAGUGAUGGAUGCGCCGUCAGGGUUCCCAAGAGGGAAGCACCUGGGUUUCUGCUCCCAAUCGUCUACGAAGCGCCGCACCAUGGCCUCGUCGUGCGCCUUCACGUUUGAGUUCAGCUGCUCCGCGCACCACCGUAGAUCCCUGGAUAACACGUCACCGGCACAGGCGUACGUUGGCACGCUCUGAAUCGCGUUCCCGAAGUAGUACUGUUCCAAUUUUGGUUCUAUUCGGUGACGGCAGUUAACCGCCAUUCUGAACGUGGUAGUUUUGGAAGCAGGCAAUUUCCUCGCGCGCGUAAUCGCGCGCCACAGCAACGCGCACACUGAUUGAAACGACGAAAUCUCCAUCGUUUCGGUAAUCGUUUGCGGUUUCGAAUUCGAGUUCACCUUGAACCAACUCUCCAGAAUUGUACCGGCCUUGCCGUUGUUCUCCUUCGCGUGAUGAUCGUUGCUUUGCUUCCGCAUCAACUCGACGCUCGUGCUGUUGUUCUCCUGACACCGACGGUUGUUCGUCUUGGCCUUCAGUUUCUGAAUUGUUUCGCGGCUGAAACUGAAGAUUCUCUCGCGCAGCGGCGCGUGAGAAUCGAACGUGACCUGAGGACCGCCUUCCGGUAGCCGGAGGACGGCGUCAGAGAUCAGAAUGGAGUCGCGGUGGAAGUACGGUACAUUGCGGAUGCUUUUGUUCGCGUUUCUGCAGAGCUGAGCGAAGGUAUUGAAGAAGUUCCAGAAGGAGGUGCCAUCGGUGACGGCAUGAUUGACGGCGCAGCCGAUGAAGAGGCCGUCAGCGAGUUCGGUGACCUGAACAGCGAGAAUUGGUGAGUAAUGGCCGGUGUAGCUGACUUUCCUGUCGAAGGCGAAGAAGUCUUUGAAAUAUUCGGGGACGUCGAGUGGGGACAGUAGGUCGCAGAUGCGAAUGGUGGUGGCAUUGGUGUGUAUGAAAUCGACGCCGGCGUCGUUGCAAGCGAUGUAAACGUAACCUUGGGAAUCGGUAGUUAAACGGCCAGCGAGGGGUGGAAAGAGAGAAAGUGUGCGAGAGAGUGCAGAUUUAAGAAGAGGAAUUAAAGAGUAGAGUGGAAUAUUGGGUUGGGUAAAGAGACAUCCCUUUUGGAUAUAGUGGCAGGACAACAUGGGGAGGUCCGAAACAGAGAGUUUAAGGUUUCCGAUAGUAGAGUUUUGGUCUGGAAAGACGGUGCAUUUGGAGAGUAAGGUAGGUGCAGAAUCAGAAAAAGGCAUCUUGGUAGAGAUGUUGUGUGUGUUAUGCAAAUUGGUAUUGAAAAAGCAAUUGGAUAAAAGAGAUUUUUGUCUUUUCUCUCUUCCUCUCUAUGGUGUGCGUAAUUGGAAGGGAAGUGAGGAGUCGGGUAGGGAUGGGAGAAGACGUUGCAAGUGUCCCUAUUAUAUAUAGGCACCAACAAAGUGUCUUCAUUCAUGCAUUUUAUUUUCUUGAUCCUUGAGCCUCAGUCAUGUUUGCCUUCCUUAUUUUAUUUAUUAUUUAUUCUUUAUUCAGAACUACCAUUUUGGUGGUUGUUAAUCACUCUUUUUAUUUUACCCUUUUCAAGCUCCAACCUACCUUUUCCCAUUCUUUGGUUAAUCCUCCUCAAGUCAAUUCAAAUCUCUGCCAACAAACAAAUUACUUAUCCAAAAACGAGCACUCAAAUCUAAGAAUAGACGCUACAAUUUUAUUUUCCCCAUCUCAAUUUUUUUUAAACAAAUCAAUAUUUUAUUACCAGUUUAUAAAAAUAUGUUUUUUCAAGAUUUGAAGCAUUUUAAAGCCAUUUUCACCCUUUAAAGGCAAGAAGGAAACAUGAUACAUGAAAAUGAGAAUACUUACGUUACAUUUCUAAACAGGUUGCUUCCUCGCACAAAUUAAUCGAUUAUUGUAAAUAAAUUGCUACUAGAAGUUUGAAAAAAAUCAAUUAUCAUUUUGGCCACAGUCGUUUAUUGAAUAACAAGUUUGAAAAAUCAAUCAUCUAUGGGAACCAUUAAUUAUUGGAAGCGAUACUAUUAGACACUAAUAAUACAAUCUACUCUCUUCGGUGGUGAAUUUUUUUUCUAUUUUUUUUUCUAUUUCAUAUCUCAUUGCCACAAAACACCUCCACUUUCAACCGUCCAUCUCAUUUUCUUUCCCUCAAUUUCCACGACAAUUCAAAACACAAGUUCUGUUUUUUCCUAACUUCUGUCAAUUUAAAAUACAGUGAUUUCCCUAUCACGGCUUCACGUUAAACUCCAAAUCUAAAUUAAGAAACUACACAUACAAGUAUCCAACUAGUUUUACAAAAUAUUUUUUUAUACAAUAUUAAAUAUAACUUUUUAAAAUGAAAUGAUUGAGAUAUAAUGGACAAAAUAAAUAAAUAAAUAUUUUUCCUCAAACUCUUCCUCCAUCUCUCAUUCAGCUUCCCCUUAUCUCUCUCUCUCUCUUCUCUCUCUCUCACACACACACACCGUAAAACUUGUUAUCUCUCCUGGAAAAUGAAUGAUGAUAGUAAGUUUUGACACUUGGAGGGGUAUUGGCAGAGACACGUGGGAGUGUCUGGUGGUGGAUAUUAUAUAUAUUGGGAAGAUUAGAGAAUAUAGAGAUAUGGUUUGGGGUAUUACUUGACUUAGAUAUGUUAAGUGAAAAGCAAAACAAGUAUCCAAAAUCCAAGAAAUAAAAGAUGUGAUGCAAAUUUGGAGAUUACUAUGGAUCUCCCAGAUUUUUCUUAAAAUCCAGGAGUAUCGCACACCCUAUGGUGGCUGGUCUGCUCUCAAGGACACACUGCAAAUAUAUGCCGUGCGAUACCUGAUCUCAUUUGUCUUCUUAUUCCCUCUUUGCUUUUCAUCAUUUCAUUAUAUCACCUCAAUCCAUCUUUUUUUUUCUUUUUUCUUUAAAUCAAAUAUCUCAUUACCACCAAAAUGAUAUGUUUCUUGUGUUUUAAUGUUCAAAUUUUAAUUGCAUAAUUUAAUCCAAAUUUGUGAAACACAUAUUAGAUGAAAUUAGGUUGAGACGAGUUCAAAGACAAUUCUAACUCAUUCUGAAGAAAAAAAUACAUUUUUUUUUGUCGAUUUUUAAAUUUAAAUCAGUUCAAAUAAGAUUUUCUAUCAUGAGAAUCUAGAGUUUUAUCUUUGGAUAAGUGGUUGAUGUUUCCUCUAUGUUUCUAGCAUCUGUUAAAAUUAUAUAUGUCACGAGAUAUUGUUAGCAAAAGAAAUCAAAUAAGUCUAAUGGAAAAAAAUCUUAUUCCAAAGAAAUUUUAAUAUAUAUUGUUUUCAGCUAAGAGCUUAAAAGAUUUUUAAUAUAUAUUGCUUGUCCUGUCUUUGAUUCAAAGCUCUUUUAUUUACCAUUGAUUAUUCAUUAAGCAUAAUUAAGUUCAUUUAAUCAGGGGUAAUAAUUUUUUAUUUUCCUUUUUUACUUUACUAUUCUCUUUAUUAUACUGUGUUGAUUUUAGUCAUGAGUGAGAGUCCUUAAAUUAGAACAUGCACUAAUUGAGUCCUUUUUCUAUUUGUGUUCAAACACUCUGUUUAGAAUGGGUUUUUGCUUUAUUAUUUCUCACAAGUUAUAAUUAGGUAUAAAAGGUCUAGAUCGAGGUCUAUAAUACCUAAUUUUCUUAUAGCUGUUUAUUUAUUGUACUAAUUAUUAUGUAGGUUUGGUUAUUUUAAAAGUAAUAACUUGAAUAGAGACUAAUAGUAUAGACUCCUUAGGUGAUUUUAAUAGUGAAUAAGUGAGUUCGACUAUGACAUAAAUUACUAAGGGUCUUUGGAUUAAAUAUAUGAUUGUUUCUUGGAAAGAAUAUUGUAUUCCCUAUGAUAAACAAUAGUGACGGGGCUACUAAAGGGUUGAGAUAAUUCCUACCAAAACACAGACCCCUUAAUCUUAAGGAUCUUAAUCUUAAGGAUAGGUGAGAGACGGUUAAAGACAUCAACGUUAUUCCUAUUAGCAUAGUUCCCCAGUUUGAAGUAUAAGCAAAGAGAUUAUUAAAGACAUUAGUAUUAUUUUAACCAGUAGACAACCCCUCAAAGCAUAAAUAAAAAAUGUUUCUUUUGUGCCUUUUUUUUUCAGCAUAUUAAUUUUGUACUGGUUGGGACUGGACGAAUUUCAGAUGUCUCAGUACUUUAUAUCGACUAAUAGACAUGUUUAAAGUGUAUUAAUGUCAAGAUAUGUAUUAAUAAGGCUUAGUCGUACGGAAGACUAGGCUUAAUCACAAUUCAUAUACUAAUCUCGGUCCAAUAGGAAGAGGGUCCAUCAGAGGAAUAUAAAUAAGCACAACUUCCAAGGAGAAGGUACGUUGUUAUUACGCAUUUAUUACACACUGAAUACCAAACACUUACUUGAGGGUCCAAGCACCUUUUGCAAGUGUUCUCCCAAUCGAGAACGAACAAUAGAAGUAGAGCUUGAUCGAAGGUAGUGAAUGAGAGUAAAGGAAGGAAGUUGAUCCCGACUGAACCUAAAGAGUUAAAAAAGAAGGAGCAAAGAAAGGUAGUAUCGAUCGAAGCAAAGAAAUCAAUUGUUUAACCAAUAAGAAUUCUCUCAAUCCCUUUUAUACGAGAACAAUUUCAUAAAUAUUAAUCAAAAACUAAGGUUAACAUGACAUUACCAUAACAUGGUCCAAGAUCAACCUUUGUAUAUAUUUUCUCAUGUAACUUAAUAUAUUUAUUAGAUGACUUCAUUGAAUAACAUAGAUUAAAAAUUAAUUUGAUCAUUUUGUUUGGUUCAUCGUCAUCAUUUUAUUUAUUUUGCAUAACAAUAUAUUUUGAAAUUAUUAUGUUGGCUCCAUAUAGAUGUCAAUUUUAACAUGAAAAUGAUAUAUUUUGACAUUUUAUUGGUGUAAUUGUCAUUCAAUCUAUACAAUCAUAAAUUAAGAUGAAAUGUGCGACGAUGUGUUUAGAAUUAUUAAAUAACUCGAUUUGUCAUUCACAUUAUAGGGUUCAAGGAUCAUGUUAUGGGACUCAAUGACCACACUAUGAAAGCUUCAGUUCUCAUUCUCAUUCCCCACCUUCAGUAAAACUCGUAUUCUCUUGUAGUCUCUCGAUCAGGAGAACAUCUAUAAAAGGUGUUUUCGUUUUCGGUACAGUAAAUAUACAAUAUUAACGUCCAUUUUUUUUAAAGUUGUCUUUGUGAUGAGUUAUGUUACUGUUAGACCAAAAAUAAUGUAUAAAUCAUGAUUAAUAAUGUAUUACUUAAUUUUCAACUUAACCUAAUUAAUCAUCUUAUAAUCUUAAUACUAAAAUUUUUUAAACUCAUUCGAUUUCAAUAGGUACAAUCACUAUGGAAAAAAAACAACUCACUACAAAUAGCAAACAAAAUAUUCGAAUAUUAGACAAAUUACAUAAAUAUGCUGUCCAGUACAUGAUGGCUGUUUUAAGUUAGAUAAAACAAAAGUUGAUCUGCAGUUUAUGUUGUCAUAUUCUUAACAAAAAAAAAUAUUAUUAUCUUAUAAAAUACGUUUAGUAAUUAAUUUGUAUAAGAUUAAAAUCCAAUUUAAAAAAAAUGUGAAUAAUAAUAUUGAAGUGAAGGAGGAGCGCCGACUAUUUGCGUUGUGUAUGUGUGGUGUGAUCCCUCAAAUCCCCAAAAGGUCGGCUCCUUAGAAUCUCAACUGUUUAGCUAAUCUUGAACUGUUACAUAUCAUGAAUCCAAUAUUAUUAUUACGGCUACUUGAACAUUAUUUUAUCUUCAUGCACUCUUUUCCUCAUUUCUAUAUUCAAACUUAGGUUUUGGAUCAUCUCUUUCUCUAAAACUAUACCCAGACUAACUGUAGAGAAUCUCCGCAACCGCCAUUUCUGAUUUGUCGGUUUCCGUUACCAUCAAUAAUAUCUCAUACUAUUAAUCAUUACCAAAUUCCCAUACUUGUAUAUUAAUUUGUGAUUUAUUAGUAGAUAAGUAAGGUCUGAGCACAUUUUGGACUGUGGUAUACUUAAUUGUUUGACUACAGAUAGUGUAUGAAUACUAUAAUGUUCUUCCUUUAUAUAAUGGUAUGAUUAAAAAAGUAUACUGGCGAUGAAGAGGAUUGGGGUGAUUGCAGUGCAGAGGGGGCAUAUAUUAAUGUGUUCCGCCACUGUGGACAGUGGGGCUUGUGUUUUGUCCAAGUUCUGAGAUCCUCUUCUUCAACAUUUUUCAUUACAAUGUAUCUUGGGAUCAGCCACGUGGCUCACAGUUCAGGGACAACCAUGUAGCUUCUCUGGGUUCUAUGUGUGACAGUGAAUUUGACAGAUGCCAGGUGUGUGACAGUGCAAACCCACCGUGAACAAAAAUUAACAAUCUGCACAGUAAGUACGGUACUGCUAUUUAUGUCUUCCAUCAUUUUUGGACAUUAUUUUUUACUCAAAUUAUAUAUUUUUUUAAGACCUUACACAACUGUUAACGACUAAUUGUAAUUUCUUUUAAAAUUUAACUGUUUUGAUAAAUUUAAAUCAAAAGUCCAUGUGUAUGCUAACAUACCCCAAUUCUUGUUUAUGUUGGAGAACUCGUAACUUUUGUUUUGUUACUUUAGUUUAAUUAUUGUCAAAACCACCAACUUUGAUGCAAUAUUUAAAUUACCACUCAUUAAAUAUUCGUAAUUAGGUAUUCUUAUGAAGAGAAGUUCUUCUCUAAUAUGUCUAUAAAAUAUUAAAUUAGAAAGUGAUAUAUUACAAUAUACUUUUAAUAUACUUUUGUAUUUAUUUUUAAUGAAGUAGUAUAUAUGUGUUUUCUUUUCAACUAAAUAUGUGAUGUUUGUGAUGUUAUUGUAUAAAGAGAUUGAGAGAAUAUUUUAUUAAUUGAAUAAUUCAUUUUUUUUUCUUAUUUUAUUUUUCUAACUAUUUACCUUUAAUUCUUAGUUAAAAAAAUAUAUGCAAAAGAUGUUCUGACACUCAAUUAAAUGUUUGAUAUUUAAUGUAAUAAAUACAUAAUAAUGACAUGCAUUUGUCUUGAUUGAUGUUUCUAUUUAAACAGAUGUGAUGAAUAUUGUUUUUCUUAGAUGAUAUUAACAUGUAGAUCAUAGUUAAAAGUGUAUUACAAAUUUUUUCAUAAAUUUAAUCUUAUUAAUCAUUAUUUAACUUUAAUGUAUUUAAAUAAGUCUAUCAAGACAUUCUGUUACCAUCCAAUCCGAUUGGUACAUAUUAUAUUAUAACAUUUAACAAAG
rnacentral:lncRNA from 1 species